rnacentral:snoRNA from 13 species
CCUAGAAUCCCAGAACUCACGUGAACGUAGACUCCACUCCUUCCCUCUGAUCCUUCUGCAUCUUCAUCAAAUAUGCAUCCAAAAAAUCAUCAGGCUCAUCGUGCAAAACG